GCAUCCUUCGGGGUGAGUGGCAGACGGGUGAGUAACGCGUGGGAACGUGCCCUUCAGUUCGGAAUAACCCAGGGAAACUUGGGCUAAUACCGGAUACGUGCGAGAGCAGAAAGAUUUAUCGCUGAAGGAUCGGCCCGCGUCUGAUUAGCUGGUUGGUGGGGUAAUGGCCCACCAAGGCGACGAUCAGUAGCUGGUCUGAGAGGAUGAUCAGCCACAUUGGGACUGAGACACGGCCCAAACUCCUACGGGAGGCAGCAGUGGGGAAUAUUGGACAAUGGGCGCAAGCCUGAUCCAGCCAUGCCGCGUGAGUGAUGAAGGCCUUAGGGUUGUAAAGCUCUUUCGUCCGGGACGAUAAUGACGGUACCGGAAGAAGAAGCCCCGGCUAACUUCGUGCCAGCAGCCGCGGUAAUACGAAGGGGGCUAGCGUUGUUCGGAAUCACUGGGCGUAAAGGGCGCGUAGGCGGCUUUGUAAGUCGGGGGUGAAAGCCUGUGGCUCAACCACAGAAUUGCCUUCGAUACUGCAUGGCUUGAGACCGGAAGAGGUUAGUGGAACUGCGAGUGUAGAGGUGAAAUUCGUAGAUAUUCGCAAGAACACCAGUGGCGAAGGCGGCUGACUGGUCCGGAUCUGACGCUGAGGCGCGAAAGCGUGGGGAGCAAACAGGAUUAGAUACCCUGGUAGUCCACGCCGUAAACGAUGAAUGCCAGCCGUUGGCGAGCUUGCUCGUCAGUGGCGCAGCUAACGCUUUAAGCAUUCCG
rnacentral:rRNA from 1 species